AGCGAACGCUGGCGGCAGGCCUAACACAUGCAAGUCGAACGGAUCCUUCGGGAUUAGUGGCGGACGGGUGAGUAACACGGGGGAACGUGCCCGUUGGUUCGGAACAACUCAGGGAAACUUGAGCUAAUACCGGAUGUGCCCUUCGGGGGAAAGAUUUAUCGCCAUUGGAGCGGCCCGCGUCUGAUUAGCUAGUUGGUGAGGUAACGGCCCACCAAGGCGACGAUCAGUAGCUGGGCUGAGAGGAUGAUCAGCCACACUGGGACUGAGACACGGCCCAGACUCCUACGGGAGGCAGCAGUGGGGAAUCUUGCGCAAUGGGCGAAAGCCUGACGCAGCCAUGCCGCGUGAAUGAUGAGGGUCUUAGGAUUGUAAAAUUCUUUCAGCGGGGACGAUAAUGACGGUACCCGCAGAAGAAGCUCCGGCUAACUUCGUG
rnacentral:rRNA from 1 species